rnacentral:lncRNA from 1 species
AAAUAUUAUAGUUUAAUUCGAUCCCUCCAACCUACCCCAUCUUAUUUUGAGACUCUACUCGGCCCAUCCUGCCCCGAGACAAGCAAGGGAUGAUUCAUUGUUGUCCCUAAAUUGGUGGAAGUUUGGAUAUGGUCACUCAAAAAGAUGAAAGAACUUAUUUCACUUGGGGUUUGCUCAAAUUGAGGGGUCAUGCUUCACCUCAAUAUGAAUGUUGCAGCUUCUAGUGAUGCUCUUUGGGAGAGAUUUUUAGUUUUAAUGGCACAAACAAGACACAUGCUCCAUUUGCUCGACAACCUCAUAGGUAUUACAGAGAAAAAAAGAGUUUUGAGUAAUAGAAAGUUUGAGCCUAACCAAGAAAGAAAUCCUAUUCAAUUUUAAAACAUAAGUAGUUAAGUUUGUUAAUUUUUGUCUUAAUCACUAAAUCUUUGCAUCUAGUUCCUUACAUUUUUCCUUUUUUUUAUUUUAUACAACAGAUGACUCGCUCUAGUAUGAAUACAUCCAAAAAUUAAAAAAAAAGCAAAUCUUAGAGAUCACAAGGCAGCUCUAUCUCUCCGGUUCACAUGACCCCACCCGAGUGAUCUACCAUAAAGAAAGCUAUUCAGUCCGCAGCUCCAUUCACUUCUCUGUAAACAUGUCUCUUGCCGAAGGUGAUACCUCUACUUGCUAUAUCCUAGAUAUCUCAGAGCAAGGGAUGGUGGAACCAACCUCCAUGUGUUGCCUCCAGAUCUACCCAACCACCAAGGCCAAGUCAUCUAACAGGAUGACAUUGGCCCUCAAAACGCAUUGGGCGUGAUUGAAGCCAACU